rnacentral:lncRNA from 1 species
AACAAUGGAAACCGUCGUAACAGACAAAACUACAACCAGAGUCCACAAAAACAGCACCAUCCACUCAACAAGCACCCAAUAUCUUUCAGACAAGGAAGAAUCGGAGAGUGAGUAGAGGCAAACCUGCGGAAUCGGGAAAGGGGAUGUGGAAACCACAGGAGAGAAGCACAAUGCUCUGACGGUGGUACUGACGGUGGUGGGACAGUGGCGAAUUCAUGACUCUAAAAGACCCGGACAGCAAAGCGGAGGAUGAAAGGAGAUGGAGGAGAUGGCGACGAAACAAACUCGGCCGAGGCAAGUUAGAUCCGGUGGGUCGGGAGGGUCUGGAGGUUCAAGAGGGACGAGAGAAGGGGUCUCCGUGAGCAGAUCUGGCAGCAUGCGAACCGACGGCGGCUCUGCCAGAGGCAUCGAAGCAAGCAGAUCUG